rnacentral:tRNA from 1 species
ACAUCAAUAGGUUGGCGGGCGGGACGAUACCUCCGAAGGCAGAGGUCGCAGGUUCGAAUCCUGCUGGGUGCACCA